UGAGAGGAUGACCGGCCACACUGGAACUGGAACACGGUCCAGACUCCUACGGGAGGCAGCAGUGGGGAAUAUUGCGCAAUGGGCGAAAGCCUGACGCAGCGACGCCGCGUGAGGGAUGAAGGUUCUCGGAUCGUAAACCUCUGUCAGGGGGGAAGAAACCCCCUCGUGUGAAUAAUGCGAGGGCUUGACGGUACCCCCAAAGGAAGCACCGGCUAACUCCGUGCCAGCAGCCGCGGUAAUACGGAGGGUGCAAGCGUUAAUCGGAAUCACUGGGCGUAAAGCGCACGUAGGCGGCUUGGUAAGUCAGGGGUGAAAUCCCACAGCCCAACUGUGGAACUGCCUUUGAUACUGCCAGGCUUGAGUACCGGAGAGGGUGGCGGAAUUCCAGGUGUAGGAGUGAAAUCCGUAGAUAUCUGGAGGAACACCGGUGGCGAAGGCGGCCACCUGGACGGUAACUGACGCUGAGGUGCGAAAGCGUGGGUAGCAAACAGGAUUAGAUACCCUGGUAGUCC
rnacentral:rRNA from 1 species